CCUUGUGGUGCGCUCGGUCUAAAAGGUAUCCGUGCUGUGGCUCACUCUAUUCACAGUUUAGGGGUACAACGUCGCAGAUGAAAUUGCCAUCUUUCCGAUGUGCAUAACUUGAUAUAUUCCACUAACGGUGCGUAGCCGCUUAGGCGAUUAUCGCUCGGUUAAACCAUAUCACGUACAUUC
rnacentral:snoRNA from 1 species